rnacentral:tRNA from 1 species
UCCGAAUUGGUGUAGUGGUUAACAUUUGUCGCUCUCAUUCCAACUGCGCCGACAGGCCCGGGGUUCGAUUCCCCGAUUCGGAA